CCUACGGGUGGCAGCAGUAGGGAAUCUUUCACAAUGGGCGAAAGCCUGAUGGAGCAACGCCGCGUGCAGGAUGAAGGCCUUCGGGUUGUAAACUGCUUUUAUAAGCGAGAAAUAUGAUGGUAACUUAUGAAUAAGGAUCGGCUAACUACGUGCCAGCAGCCGCGGUCAUACGUAGGAUCCGAGCAUUAUCCGGAGUGACUGGGUGUAAAGAGUUGCGUAGGUGGCAUAGUAAGUAGCUAGUGAAAUCUGGUGGCUCAACCAUUCAGACUAUUAGCUAAACUGCUAAGCUCGAGACCGGUAGGGGUAACUGGAAUUUCUAGUGUAGGAGUGAAAUGCGUAGAUAUUAGAAGGAACACCGAUAGCGUAGGCAGGUUACUGGGACGGUUCUGACACUAAGGCACGAAAGCGUAGGGAGCAAACGGGAUUAGAUACCCCUGUAGUC
rnacentral:rRNA from 1 species